CCUACGGGAGGCAGCAGUGGGGAAUAUUGGGCAAUGGGCGCAAGCCUGACCCAGCAACGCCGCGUGAAGGAAGAAGGCUUUCGGGUUGUAAACUUCUUUUCUCAGGGACGAAGAAAGUGACGGUACCUGAGGAAUAAGCCACGGCUAACUACGUGCCAGCAGCCGCGGUAAUACGUAGGUGGCAAGCGUUAUCUGGAUUUAUUGGGUGUAAAGGGCGUGUAGGCGGGAGCGCAAGUCAGAUGUGAAAACUCAGGGCUCAACCCUGAGCCUGCAUUUGAAACUGUGUUUCUUGAGUGCUGGGGAGGCAAUCGGAAUUCCGUGUGUAGCGGUGAAAUGCGUAGAUAUACGGAGGAACACCAGUGGCGAAGGCGGAUUGCUGGACAGUAACUGACGCUGAGGCGCGAAAGCGUGGGGAGCAAACAGGAUUAGAUACCCUUGUAGUC
rnacentral:rRNA from 1 species